GACGAACGCUGGCGGCGUGCCUAAUACAUGCAAGUCGAGCGGAAGUUGGAGAGCUUGCUCUUCAACUUUAGCGGCGGACGGGUGAGUAACACGUGGGCAACCAGCCCUGCAGAUCGGGAUAACUCCGGGAAACCGGUGCUAAUACCGAAUAGUUUUCGCCACCUCCUGGUGGCGUACGGAAAGACGGUUUCGGCUGUCACUGCAGGAUGGGCCCGCGGCGCAUUAGCUAGUUGGUGGGGUAACGGCCCACCAAGGCGACGAUGCGUAGCCGACCUGAGAGGGUGAUCGGCCACACUGGGACUGAGACACGGCCCAGACUCCUACGGGAGGCAGCAGUAGGGAAUCUUCCGCAAUGGACGAAAGUCUGACGGAGCAACGCCGCGUGAGUGACGAAGGUUUUCGGAUCGUAAAACUCUGUUGUGGGGGAAGAACAAGUACCAACUAACUACUGGUACCUUGACGGUACCUCACCAGAAAGCCACGGCUAACUACGUGCCAGCCGCCGCGGUAAGAC
rnacentral:rRNA from 1 species